ACCGGCUCGAGGGUCGCUGCAGGGUGCCUGGGCCAGCGCCGCGCUGAAGGUGCUGAAAGGAGUAGGAAAUGUAUUAAAAUAAUGAAUAUUGCUGUUGCUGGAAAUCCUCUCUUAAAAGGAGAGUUUUGAAGUGUUUCCUGCAGGCUAUAAAAGUCUAUAUUCACUUCUUCUGAAGAGUAUGUCCCAGCUUGAUUCUCUGUCUCAAGUACACAGCGUCCUAAGCUCUCGUAUGCUUCCUUCUGGACUUGGAGUCCAGCGCCAUCUCACAGAGAAAGACGUAGAGACUUCAGUUUGACAUUGGGAUCCGACUGGAAGCAACGGAGAUACCUGAAUGUGAAUUUGAUGUGUUAACAGUAGCCUGAGCUAGGGAACAAUUUCAGGAUGCUGAGGUUUAUCAUCUGUGGUUUAUAUGCCUUCAGGGAAGAUGGAGAAAGCAUCUGUUCUUUGAAAAUGGUCAGUUACAAUAGAGGGCAUGGGAAUGAAUAUAUAUAUAUAUAUAUAUAUAUAUAUUUACAGAUUUAUCCUGCAUCUGAUAAAGUGAUGGAAUAUGAACAUCUCUGGAAGAGGGAGAUUCCCUCUUAUGGACUUAUUUGAAGCUCUUGUAUUUGUGGGAGAUCCCAGUGAGCACUCCACCUUAUUCCUUUUUAAUGCAAGUUCUAGUGCCUUCCAUUUACUCCAGAGUUUAAAGAAUUUCACUCGUUUUCCUGUGGAAUAUUUCUGGAACGCUUAUGAAGACAGCUGAAAAAAGCAAAGUAUUCUGAGCAGUGGGGAAUAUCAGGUAGAGCAGAGCUCAUCAGAGUUUACUAGCUCUGUCAGGACAGUCUUCUUGAGCUUCCAGAGAGCCCGGCUCCCAACAGACAAAAGCAAGGCCUUUGGAGUGUUACUGCCUUUCAUCAAAAUUUCAAGACCUUUGGAGUGUUACUGCCUUUCAUCAAAAUUUUUAGGAAAGAUGUCCUAUGGUCAGAAAUAAGAUGGGUUCUGACUGUGUGUCAAGUGCCAGUGGUAAAAAAAUAAAACAGGAUAGAUGGUGCUGAAAUGGACAUGCUUUGUCCUGGAAUGUAUGAAGUUGUGAUGGCCACCACCUCACCUGAGAGCACUGACCAGACUUCGCACCUCCAGGGCUGAAAGCAUGAGUUCAAGUGAAUUUAAAACAGCAUUGAUAAAUUAACUGGUGAUAAAUGUUUAGCUCAGUUGGUUAGAGUGUGGUACUAACAAUGCCAAGGUCAUGGAUCGAUCCCCAUUUGGGCCGCUCAUUUGAGGGCUGGACUAGAUGAUCUCCAGAGGUCCCUUCCAACCUUACUGAUACUAUGAUCAGCCUUGUCCUGGUCCUCUAUAGAGGACUAAAUUACACCUUGAAUUAUUAGAUCUUGAAUAAUUCUUUUGGCUUGUAAAUGAAAACAAUUCUUUUCUUUUUGCAAACAAUGGAUACUGGCUUUUGGGAACUUGGAACUCUCUUUAGCUUGUAUUCAUUUCCUUUAUGUAUAACUGUACUUGAGUGAACAAGGUAAUACUUAAAAAGUGUUACCAGAAGAGACAGGGUGUCUUGAAGCAAACUUGGGACUAACAUCAUUCUAUUAUAUCUACUUUGAUUUAUUUUUGGAUUUAUUUUUUGUUUAUUUGAAUGUGCUAGCUAAUGUUAUUUUAAUGCUGAUUGUCAGGAAAAAGGCUCCAUAAAGUCUUGUUUGAAAUCUUCUCUGCCACUUAAUUUCAAAUUUUCUU